rnacentral:rRNA from 1 species
AGAGUUUGAUCCUGGCUCAGAGCGAACGCUGGCGGCAGGCUUAACACAUGCAAGUCGAGCGGGCGUAGCAAUACGUCAGCGGCAGACGGGUGAGUAACGCGUGGGAACGUACCUUUUGGUUCGGAACAACACAGGGAAACUUGUGCUAAUACCGGAUAAGCCCUUACGGGGAAAGAUUUAUCGCCGAAAGAUCGGCCCGCGUCUGAUUAGCUAGUUGGUAGGGUAAUGGCCUACCAAGGCGACGAUCAGUAGCUGGUCUGAGAGGAUGAUCAGCCACAUUGGGACUGAGACACGGCCCAAACUCCUACGGGAGGCAGCAGUGGGGAAUAUUGGACAAUGGGGGCAACCCUGAUCCAGCCAUGCCGCGUGAGUGAUGAAGGCCCUAGGGUUGUAAAGCUCUUUUGUGCGGGAAGAUAAUGACGGACCGCAAGAAUAG